GACAGAGGUGCCAAGCGUUAGGCGGAAUCACUGGGCUUAAAGCGUGUGUAGGCGGACUGGUAAGUACCUUGUGAAAUCCCACGGCUUAACCGUGGAACUGCUUGGUAUACUGCUUGUCUUGAGCCACUUAGGGGCAAUCGGAACAAACGGUGGAGCGGUGAAAUGCGUAGAGAUCGGCAGGAACACCCAGGGGGAAACCAGUCGACUGGGCAUCGUACUGACGCUGAGGUGCGAGAGCGUGGGGGAGCGAACCGG
rnacentral:rRNA from 1 species